rnacentral:rRNA from 1 species
GCGGGCGUAGCAAUACGUCAGCGGCAGACGGGUGAGUAACGCGUGGGAACAUACCUUUUGGUUCGGAACAACACAGGGAAACUUGUGCUAAUACCGGAUAAGCCCUUACGGGGAAAGAUUUAUCGCCGAAAGAUUGGCCCGCGUCUGAUUAGCUAGUUGGUGAGGUAACGGCUCACCAAGGCGACGAUCAGUAGCUGGUCUGAGAGGAUGAUCAGCCACAUUGGGACUGAGACACGGCCCAAACUCCUACGGGAGGCAGCAGUGGGGAAUAUUGGACAAUGGGCGCAAGCCUGAUCCAGCCAUGCCGCGUGAGUGAUGAAGGCCCUAGGGUUGUAAAGCUCUUUUGUGCGGGAAGAUAAUGACGGUACCGCAAGAAUAAGCCCCGGCUAACUUCGUGCCAGCAGCCGCGGUAAUACGAAGGGGGCUAGCGUUGCUCGGAAUCACUGGGCGUAAAGGGUGCGUAGGCGGGUCUUUAAGUCAGGGGUGAAAUCCUGGAGCUCAACUCCAGAACUGCCUUUGAUACUGAGGAUCUUGAGUUCGGGAGAGGUGAGUGGAACAGCGAGUGUAGAGGUGAAAUUCGUAGAUAUUCGCAAGAACACCAGUGGCGAAGGCGG